GCAGAGGAUACCCUGCGGUCGGGGAAUUGCCUUUUGGUGACAGAAGGAAAUACCGGACGAACGGACGGUCUUCGGGGAGCGGGUGCCUGUCAUCUCGCUGAUAAAAGCACCAUCCUCCGCGCUGCCGCAAUAGACGCCCUGGUAGGGAAUAAGCCGGGUCAGGAACAGAAAUGCCAAACUGUUCAAACCCCGGUAAGGCAAGAAGGCAGUCGUGUCGUUGUUGAUGCCGGGAAUACCGGCUAUAAGCGGAGGCAAGGGGUACGAGUAGUCCAAAGCAACGAGUUGUCUUAAAAGACCGCACCCUCUUUCGCAAAACUGUGGACGGUGGAUGAAAGUUAGGGGUAAGCAAUCCCCUGCAGGGCUCGCGGGUUAACCGUCAUGGUGUAGCUAACCAUGGCUCACAUUAAUCUUCCUGCCGGCUGAACAUACAGAAGAGAUGAAAGGUGGUAAGGCGAAGGCCUGCU
rnacentral:sRNA from 1 species